rnacentral:rRNA from 1 species
CCAGACUCCUACGGGAGGCAGCAGUGGGGAAUAUUGCACAAUGGGCGCAAGUCUGAUGCAGCCAUGCCGCGUGUAUGAAGAAGGCCUUCGGGUUGUAAAGUACUUUCAGCGGGGAGGAAGGCGAUAAGGUUAAUAACCUUGUCGAUUGACGUUACCCGCAGAAGAAGCACCGGCUAACUCCGUGCCAGCAGCCGCGGUAAUACGGCGGGUGCAAGCGUUAAUCGGAAUUACUGGGCGUAAAGCGCACGCAGGCGGUCUGUCAAGUCGGAUGUGAAAUCCCCGGGCUCCACCUGGGAACUGCAUUCGAAACUGGCAGGCUGGAGUCUUGUAGAGGGGGGUAGAAUUCCAGGUGUAGCGGUGAAAUGCGUAGAGAUCUGGAGGAAUACCGGUGGCGCAGGCGGCCCCCUGGGCCUGGACUGACGCUCAGGUGCGACAGCGUGGGGAGCAAACAGGAUUAGAUACCCCGGUA